rnacentral:rRNA from 1 species
GACGAACGCUGGCGGCGUGCCUAACACAUGCAAGUCGAGCGAGUGGAGUUCUUCGGAACAAAGCUAGCGGCGGACGGGUGAGUAACACGUGGGCAACCUGCCUCAUAGAGGGGAAUAGCCUCCCGAAAGGGAGAUUAAUACCGCAUAAGAUUGUAGCUUCGCAUGAAGUAGCAAUUAAAGGAGCAAUCCGCUAUGAGAUGGGCCCGCGGCGCAUUAGCUAGUUGGUGAGGUAACGGCUCACCAAGGCGACGAUGCGUAGCCGACCUGAGAGGGUGAUCGGCCACAUUGGGACUGAGACACGGCCCAGACUCCUACGGGAGGCAGCAGUGGGGAAUAUUGCACAAUGGGGGAAACCCUGAUGCAGCAACGCCGCGUGAGUGAUGACGGCCUUCGGGUUGUAAAGCUCAGUCUUCAGGGACGAUAAUGACGGUACCUGAGGAGGAAGCCACGGCUAACUACGUGCCAGCAGCCGCCGUAACAC